ensembl:lncRNA
AUCAGAUAAGCAUUCGGCUAUCACAGCUGUGUUAGCAAAAACACUGAAGAAUACCGGUCCUGUAGCCGUCUUAGCCACUGAAAUGGCCAAUCAUAGCGCAACUAGUGUUAACAAGGCCAGAUCUCGGGCCGCCAUCUUACUAAGUGCUACAUGGAUAUAUCCUUUAUACUGAGAGAUAUCCUUAUAAUGAGUCUUUAUUAAUCACAUAUACAUUACAGCAGAGUGACAUACUUUUCUUCACAUGUCAGAAAGUUGGGGUCAGAGCGCAGGGUCAGAGCCAUGGUACAGCAGUCAGAGCCAUGGUACAGCGCCCCUGGAGCAGAGAGGGUUAAGGGCCUUGCUCAAGGGCCCAACAGUUGCAGUGCUGGGGCUUGAACCCCCAACCUUCUGAUCAGUAACCCAGAGCCUUAACCAAGUCACCACUGUCCCUGUAUGUAUUUAUGUACAAAUUUAGCCAAGAUCACAUUGAAUUAUUUUUCAAUGCAGUACGACGUUGCGGAGGCUGGUCUAACAAUUCCACUGCUGCACAUUUCAAAGCCACAUUUAAAUGUCUCAUCACAAGAUGUGGGGCCCUAGCCGCAGGAUCAUCAGGGAACUGCACAUGCUUUGGUGAUACAGACCUGGUACAGGCAGGAUUCAGCACUUUUGUAUCUCCAACUCUAAUCAGGCAAGAUGAGGAGAUAGAAAAUAUGUGCAUGGACCAGGACUUUGUUCUCCCAAACCAGGAAGUCCUGGCAACCCUGCAGAAACAUCCUUGUAUACAUUGGAGGUUGGGUGGUUAGGAAGGCACUGCUGAAAGUCUCAUGCUCCACAUGCAGGGUGGCACUCAUGGCUUCAGAACCUUGGAUUAACUCAAUCAGUGAGACAGACCCUGAAUAGGACUGUUAUCUUUCUAGGACAGUGAACUGUAUAUGCACUAAUUUAAAUGACGGGUUUUACAUCCAUUUUUUGCAUGUGAGUACUGAUUAGAUGAAUAUCACAAUACAGAUUGGUUUCAUUUAACAAUAUGACCAUGAAAAUAAAAAUGUGAUUAAUACAAUAGCUAAAGGUAGUCUGUAAAGUCACUUGGAAGGUUGUAUCACAAGGUAGUGCCUGAGAAAU